CAACCCUCAAGCCUGGCUUGGUGUUGGGAGUCUACCGCCCUGGUAGCUCCUGAAUUAUAGUGGCGGACUUACAGUCUGUUCCGAGCGUAGUAGUUUUUUUUAACUCGCUAAGGAAUGUCUGUAGAUUCUAGCCAUCAACUCUAUAACUUUUCAAAUGG
rnacentral:misc_RNA from 1 species